rnacentral:rRNA from 1 species
UACGAGUGCCCCAAGCGUUAUCCGGAAUCAUUGGGCGUAAAGGGUGUGUAGGCGGUCGGGUUAGUCUCCUGUCAAAUUCUUCGGCUCAACCGGGGGUCCGCAGGGGAAACGGCACGACUAGAGGAUGCGAGAGGUGAAUGGAACUCAUGGAGUAGGGAUGAAAUCCGUUGAUAUCAUGGGGAACACCGAAUGCGAAGGCAGUUCACUGGCGCACUCCUGACGCUGAGACACGAAAGCGUAGGUAGCGAAUGGG